UUGCAGUUGGCAUUGUAAAAAAGGACUCGGUCAUUGACGGGAAAAACAUUGUAGUUGGAGAACAACAUUGGUCUUCCAUCGAACGGGGUUCAUUCUAAUGGGUUCUCCCUUGUUAGAAGGGUCUUGGCUUAAAGCGGCCUUUCUUUGAAGGACCAACUUCCUGGAGGCAGCAACAAACCAAUCACGUUGGGUGAAGCUCUAAUGGCUCCAACCGUCAUAUAUGUCAAACAAGUGCUUGACAUUAUUAACAAGGGAGGCGUCAAAGGGAUAGCGCACAUCACAGUUGGUGGUUUCACAGACAAUAUACCCCGCGUCUUGUGAUGGAGAUUCUCUUAAAUUAUCUUCACGUGAAUCUUCUUGGCAGUUUUUUUUUUUUCCUGUAAUUUGGUUGUUCACAUGUUGACUGACCCUUUU